rnacentral:tRNA from 1 species
ACAUUGGUGGUUUAGUGGUAGAAUUUUAGCCUUUAAUGCAGAAGACCCCAGUUCAAUUCCCAGCCAAUGCA